rnacentral:rRNA from 1 species
UACGUAGGGGGCAAGCGUUGUCCGGAAUCAUUGGGCGUAAAGCGCGUGUAGGCGGCCCGGUAAGUCCGCUGUGAAAGUCGGGGGCUCAACCCUCGAAUGCCGGUGGAUACUGUCGGGCUAGAGUGCGGGAGAGGCGAGUGGAAUUCCUGGUGUAGCGGUGAAAUGCGCAGAUAUCAGGAGGAACACCAAUGGCGAAGGCAGCUCGCUGGGACGGUACUGACGCUGAGACGCGAAAGCGUGGGGAGCAAACAGG